CCCGAGCCAAAAUAUUUGAACAUCUAGAAUAUAGUUGAAAAGACUUUUCGCACAAGUACAUACAUCAAAUUGUGAUCGAAUAAUUAUACUCCCUAGAUGAUUUUCGGAAUUUGUCAUUCUCGAAUAGGGUCAAUUUGAUAAUCUAAAUUGCAUUGUGUGUUCCAUUUAUCAAGGCAGAUUAUAUAUGUAUAUAUAUAUAAUACAUAUAAAAUACGUAAACGGAGCAUUAGCUGCCGACAUGAGCAAGGAAAGGUUAGAAAUAGAGCGGGAUCAGAAUGCGAUCUUCGGUUCCUUUCGGGUAGGCUCGGUUCGGUUAUAUAUUUCUGAUUGGUGGAUUGAUAUUCCGAGUCGCGCCGAAUUUCCAGGCGCAGGCGCAAAUCCUCCCCUCAUUGUAGAACAGGCGCUCCAUCUAUGUAUUUUAUAUGUUUAGACCUUAACUUGCGCGCCGUAUUUACUGCGCAACAUAUAUUGCGCAACUGUGCAAGGAGAAUCGUCCUGGGGCGGUUAAUUUUGCCCUAAUUUCUUCAACAUACACAGUGUUGUGCAAACCACGUCGCACGAUCUCGUUGUAUCCGACGCAGAUAAUAUCCGGAUCAUCGGCAAACAGUCCUCGAUUGAAGCACUUUACGAUCAUACGGAUACACGGAUGAUCCGGAAAUGCGGUGCUAUGAUCAAGAGCAAUUCCAACAAAAAACAUGGCUAAACCCCAUCCAAGACUUCCAAACAUACGUUGAUGACCAUAUCUGGUUAGUCAAAGUAGUUG